CCUACGGGAGGCUGCAGUGGGGAAUAUUGGGCAAUGGGCGCAAGCCUGACCCCGCAACGCCGCGUGAAGGAAGAAGGCUUUCGGGUUGUAAACUUCUUUUCUCAGGGACGAAGCAAGUGACGGUACCUUAGGAAUAAGCCACUGAUAACUAAGUGCCAGCAGCCGCGGUAAUACGUAGGUGGCAAGCGUUCUCCGGAUUUACUGGGUGUAAAGGGCGUGUAGGCGGGACUGCAAGUCAGCUGUGAAAACCAUGGGCUCAACCUAUGGACUGCAUUUGAAACUGUAGUUCUUGAGUACUGGAGAGGCAGACGGAAUGCCUGGUGUAGCGGUGAAAUGCGUAGAUAUUAGGAGGAACACCAGUGGCGAAGGCAGUCUGCUGGAGAGCAACUGACGCUGAGGCGCGAAAGCGUGGGGAGCAAACAGGAUUAGAUACCCGGGUAGUC
rnacentral:rRNA from 1 species